rnacentral:misc_RNA from 1 species
UCCGGCUUAUCACCGGCAGUUUUCUCAGAGUUCUCAGCUUGACCUGUUAGCAACAGAGAAUGAGGGUUGCGCUCGUUGCGGGACUUAACCCAACAUCUCACGACACGAGCUGACGACAGCCAUGCAGCACCUGUGCACCUCCCACCCGAAGUGAAGGAUUCCUUUUCGGGAAUCCAUAGAGGGCAUACAAAUCCUGGUAAGGUUCUUCGCGUUGCCUCGAAUUAAACCACAUGUUCCACCGCUUGUGCGGGUCCCCGUCAAUUUCUUUGAGUUUUAAUCUUGCGACCGUACUCCCCAGGCGGGAUGCUUAACGCGUUAGCUACGCUACUGAGAGGUAUCCCCCCAACAGCUAGCAUCCAUCGUUUACAGCGUGGACUAC